rnacentral:lncRNA from 1 species
UCUACAUAGCCUAGGUGAGUCCUAGGUCGUUACAGAGUGGUGGCAAAUAACCACUGCAUUCUCAAGAAAAAAUAGUGUGAAAUCUUAAAAAUGCUAGAGUCAUGGAGAGGGAUGUAUUAAGAGCUCAUCCUUUGCAUUCUUAUGCAAAAGUCUAUUAAAAUGUGUUUGAGAAGGAAGCAAAAGCAUUUUAAGGCGGUAGUUUUUUUUCCCCUUUUUAUUUCUUCAUCCGUAAGAAGCAACACUUGGCACUCUCUAUGAUAGGAGGAUGCAGCUUGCAGUCUACGAGGAGCACGACAAAAAUAAGGCAACGACCCAAAAUCAAAUAGGUACGAAUAGAACAAUGUGCUCUAAGCAACAGCAGAGGAAGUAAAAUCUGGCAACCAAAAUAUUAGAAAAAUAUCAUUCUUUACAACAGAUUGGCCUUCAGUUAGCAAACUUCCACAAAAUAAUAAUCCGUAAAUGUUGUAAUAGUAAGAUACAAUAAGGAAUAGAUCCGAAAUAC